AGCAGCCGCGGUAAUUCCAGCUCCAAUAGCGUAUAUUAAAGUUGUUGCAGUUAAAAAGCUCGUAGUUGAAUUUCGGGAUCAAUAUGUUGGUCGUGCCUUGGUACGUACUGGCAUUAUCGAUUCCUACCUUCUGAAGAACCUCGAUGUCAUUAAUUUGGUGUCUUGGGGAAUCAGGACUGUUACUUUGAAAAAAUUAGAGUGUUUAAAGCAGGCUCGCGCUUGAAUACAUUAGCAUGGAAUAAUGAAGUAGGACGUUUGAUUCUAUUUUGUUGGUUUCUAGGAUCGACGUAAUGAUUAAUAGGGAUAGUUGGGGGCAUUAGUAUUCAAUUGUCAGGGGUGAAAUUCUUGGAUUUAUUGAAGACUAACUACUGCGAAAGCAUUUGCCAAGGAUGUUUUCAUUAAUCAAGAACGAAAGUUAGGGGAUCGAAGACGAUCAGAUACCGUCGUAGUCUUAACCAUAAACUAUGCCGACUAGGGAUCGGAUGAUGUUAAUUUUUUAAUGUACUCA
rnacentral:rRNA from 1 species